rnacentral:tRNA from 1 species
GGGGAUUUGGCUCAGUGGUAGAGCACUUGCUUAGCAAGCACAAGGCCCUGGGUUCGAUCCCCAGCUCCG